AGAGUUUGAUCCUGGCUCAGAACGAACGCUGGCGGCGUGGAUAAGACAUGCAAGUCGAACGGGACUUUGUAGCAAUACGAAGUUCAGUGGCGGACGGGUGCGUAACACGUGAACAAUCUGCCCGGAAGAGGGGGAUAGCCCAGGGAAACUUGGAUUAAUACCCCGUGCGGUACAGAUGGGCAUCCAUCUGACACCAAAGGUGCUGCAAGGUGCCGCUUCCGGAUGAGUUCGCGUCCUAUCAGCUUGUUGGCGGGGUAACGGCCCACCAAGGCAAUGACGGGUAGCUGGUCUGAGAGGAUGACCAGCCACACUGGAACUGAGACACGGUCCAGACACCUACGGGUGGCAGCAGUCGAGAAUCAUUCACAAUGGGCGAAAGCCUGAUGGUGUGACGCCGCGUGGAGGAUGAAGGUCUUCGGAUUGUAAACUCCUGUCAUGUGAGAGUAAAGCCGGGCGUUAACUGCGUGCCGGUUUGAGAGUAUCACAAGAGGAAGAGACGGCUAACUCUGUGCCAGCAGCCGCGGUAAUACAGAGGUCUCAAGCGUUGUUCGGAAUCACUGGGCGUAAAGGGUGCGUAGGCUGCACGGUAAGUCAGAGGUGAAAUCCCGGAGCUCAACUUCGGAAUUGCCUCCGAUACUGCCGUGCUUGAGGACUGGAGAGGAGUCUGGAAUUCACAGUGGAGCAGUGAAAUGCGUAGAUAUUGUGAGGAACACUAGUGGCGAAGGCGAGACUCUGGACAGUUCCUGACGCUGAGGCACGAAGGCCAGGGGAGCAAACGGGAUUAGAUACCCCGGUAGUCCUGGCAGUAAACGGUGCACGCUUGGUGUGGCGGGAUUCGACCCCCGCUGUGCCGGAGCUAACGCGUUAAGCGUGCCGCCU
rnacentral:rRNA from 1 species